rnacentral:rRNA from 1 species
GAGUUUGAUCCUGGCUCAGGACGAACGCUGGCGGCGUGCUUAAUACAUGCAAGUCGAACGGAGUUAAGGGUUUCGGCCUUUAACUUAGUGGCGAACGGGUGAGUAACGCGUGAAUAACCUGACUCAAAGAGGGGGAUAACAACGGGAAACUGUUGCUAAUACCGCAUGAGACCACAACACCGCAUGAUGAAGGGGUCAAAGAUUUAUCGCUUUGAGAGGGGUUCGCGUCCCAUUAGGUAGUUGGAGGGGUAACGGCCCACCAAGCCAACGAUGGGUAGCCGAGCUGAGAGGCUGAUCGGCCACACUGGAACUGAGACACGGUCCAGACUCCUACGGGAGGCAGCAGUAGGGAAUAUUGGGCAAUGGGCGCAAGCCUGACCCAGCAACGCCGCGUGAGGGAAGAAGGUUUUCGGAUUGUAAACCUCUGUCCUAUGUGACGAAGGAAGUGACGGUAGCAUAGGAGGAA